rnacentral:rRNA from 1 species
UGCUCAGGACGAACGCUGGCGGCGUGCUUAACACAUGCAAGUCGAACGAUGAUCUCCAGCUUGCUGGGGGGAUUAGUGGCGAACGGGUGAGUAACACGUGAGUAACCUGCCCUUGACUCUGGGAUAAGCACUGGAAACGGUGUCUAAUACCGGAUACGACCUUCCGCCGCAUGGUGAGGGGGUGGAAAGAAUUUCGGUCAAGGAUGGACUCGCGGCCUAUCAGCUUGUUGGUGAGGUAAUGGCUCACCAAGGCGACGACGGGUAGCCGGCCUGAGAGGGUGACCGGCCACACUGGGACUGAGACACGGCCCAGACUCCUACGGGAGGCAGCAGUGGGGAAUAUUGCACAAUGGGCGAAAGCCUGAUGCAGCAACGCCGCGUGAGGGAUGACGGCCUUCGGGUUGUAAACCUCUUUUAGUAGGGAAGAAGCGAAAGUGACGGUACCUGCAGAAAAAGCACCGGCUAACUACGUGCCAGCAGCCGCGGUAAUACGUAGGGUGCAAGCGUUGUCCGGAAUUAUUGGGCGUAAAGAGCUCGUAGGCGGUUUGUCGCGUCUGCUGUGAAAUCUGGAGGCUCAACCUCCAGCCUGCAGUGGGUACGGGCAGACUAGAGUGCGGUAGGGGAGAUUGGAAUUCCUGGUGUAGCGGUGGAAUGCGCAGAUAUCAGGAGGAACACCGAUGGCGAAGGCAGAUCUCUGGGCCGUAACUGACGCUGAGGAGCGAAAGCAUGGGGAGCGAACAGGAUUA